rnacentral:ncRNA from 1 species
ACGGCAGAGACGGAAACCUCUCGUACAGCAAAAGGGCAAAAGCUCGCUUGAUCUUGAUUUCCAGUACGAAUAGAGACCGCGAAAGCGU